GAAAAAAAUUUAGAAAAAUGUUCCGUUUCAGCUUCUGGUUAUUUUUGCACAUUUUAGUGGUAAAACAUUACAUCUUGCAUUUUAAAUAGAGAUUUAUUUAAAUUUAUGUAAAAAACUGUGAUAAUCCCAGAAAUUGUAUUUGUACAACAU
ensembl:ncRNA Y73B6BL.271 ncRNA